rnacentral:rRNA from 1 species
GACGAACGCUGGCGGCGCGCCUAACACAUGCAAGUCGAACGAGAGAUGAGGAGCUUGCUCUUCAAAUCGAGUGGCGAACGGGUGAGUAACGCGUGAGGAACCUGCCUCAAAGAGGGGGACAACAGUUGGAAACGACUGCUAAUACCGCAUAAGCCCACAGCUCGGCAUCGAGCAGAGGGAAAAGGAGCAAUCCGCUUUGAGAUGGCCUCGCGUCCGAUUAGCUAGUUGGUGAGGUAACGGCCCACCAAGGCGACGAUCGGUAGCCGGACUGAGAGGUUGAACGGCCACAUUGGGACUGAGACACGGCCCAGACUCCUACGGGAGGCAGCAGUGGGGAAUAUUGCACAAUGGGGGAAACCCUGAUGCAGCGACGCCGCGUGGAGGAAGAAGGUCUUCGGAUUGUAAACUCCUGUUGUUGAGGAAGAUAAUGACGGUACUCAACAAGGAAGUGACGGCUAACUACGUGCCAGCAGCCGCGGUAAAACGUAGGUCACAAGCGUUGUCCGGAAUUACUGGGUGUAAAGGGAGCGCAGGCGGGAGAACAAGUUGGAAGUGAAAUCCAUGGGCUCAACCCAUGAACUGCUUUCAAAACUGUUUUUCUUGAGUAGUGCAGAGGUAGGCGGAAUUCCCGGUGUAGCGGUGGAAUGCGUAGAUAUCGGGAGGAACACCAGUGGCGAAGGCGGCCUACUGGGCACCAACUGACGCUGAGGCUCGAAAGUGUGGGUAGCAAACAGGAUUAGAUACCCUGGUAGUCCACACCGUAAACGAUGAUUACUAGGUGUUGGAGGAUUGACCCCUUCAGUGCCGCAGUUAACACAAUAAGUAAUCCACCUGGGGAGUACGACCGCAAGGUUGAAACUCAAAGGAAUUGACGGGGGCCCGCACAAGCAGUGGAGUAUGUGGUUUAAUUCGACGCAACGCGAAGAACCUUACCAAGUCUUGACAUCCUGCGACGCACAUAGAAAUAUGUGUUUCCUUCGGGACGCAGAGACAGGUGGUGCAUGGUUGUCGUCAGCUCGUGUCGUGAGAUGUUGGGUUAAGUCCCGCAACGAGCGCAACCCUUAUGGUCAGUUACUACGCAAGAGGACUCUGGCCAGACUGCCGUUGACAAAACGGAGGAAGGUGGGGAUGACGUCAAAUCAUCAUGCCCUUUAUGACUUGGGCUACACACGUACUACAAUGGCGUUAAACAAAGAGAAGCAAGACCGCGAGGUGGAGCAAAACUCAGAAACAACGUCCCAGUUCGGACUGCAGGCUGCAACUCGCCUGCACGAAGUCGGAAUUGCUAGUAAUCGUGGAUCAGCAUGCCACGGUGAAUACGUUCCCGGGCCU